GACAUACAAGUGGUAGAGAAGCGAAAGCGGACGACCCUUCGGGGAGCUUGUACAGGUGCUGCAUGGCUGUCGUCAGCUCGUGUCGUGAGAUGUUCGGUUAAGUCCGCUAACGAGCGCAACCCUCGCUGUGUGUUACAAGUGUCACACGGGAACUGCCGGUCAUAAACCGGAGGAAGGUGGGAUGACGUCAAGUCAGCAUGGCCUUUAUAUCCUGGGCUACACACACGCUACAAUGGGAAGGGACAAUAGGUUGCGAAGCCGCGAGGUGGAGCCAAUCCAGCAAAACUUCCCUCAGUUCAGAUUGCAGGCUGCAACUCGCCUGCAUGAAGUUGGAGUUGCUAGUAAACGCAGGUCAGCCAUACUGCGUUGAAUACGUUCCCGGGGCUU
rnacentral:rRNA from 1 species